UACGUAGGGUGCAAGCGUUAUCCGGAAUUAUUGGGCGUAAAGAGCUCGUAGGCGGUUUGUCGCGUCUGCUGUGAAAUCCCGUGGCUCAACUGCGGGCUUGCGGACGAUACGGGCAGGCUAGAAUUCGGUAGGGGAGACUGGAAUUCCUGGUGUAGCGGUGAAAUGCGCAGAUAUCAGGAGGAACACCGGUGGCGAAGGCGGGUCUCUGGGCCGAUAUUGACGCUGAGGAGCGAAAGCGUGGGGAGCGAACAGG
rnacentral:rRNA from 1 species